AUUGAACGCUGGCGGCAUGCUUUACACAUGCAAGUCGAACGGUAACAGGCCGCCAGGUGCUGACGAGUGGCGAACGGGUGAGUAAUGCAUCGGAACGUGCCCAGUCGUGGGGGAUAACUACUCGAAAGAGUAGCUAAUACCGCAUACGAUCUAUGGAUGAAAGCGGGGGACCGUAAGGCCUCGCGCGAUUGGAGCGGCCGAUGUCAGAUUAGGUAGUUGGUGGGGUAAAGGCUCACCAAGCCAACGAUCUGUAGCUGGUCUGAGAGGACGACCAGCCACACUGGGACUGAGACACGGCCCAGACUCCUACGGGAGGCAGCAGUGGGGAAUUUUGGACAAUGGGCGCAAGCCUGAUCCAGCAAUGCCGCGUGCAGGAAGAAGGCCUUCGGGUUGUAAACUGCUUUUGUACGGAACGAAACGGCUCUGGUUAAUACCCGGGGCUAAUGACGGCACCGUAAGAAUAAGCACCGGCUAACUACGUG
rnacentral:rRNA from 1 species